AUGGCUCAGGAUGAACGCUAGCGGGAGGCUUAACACAUGCAAGUCGAGGGGCAGCAUAGGGUAGCAAUACUCUGAUGGCGACCGGCAAACGGGUGAGUAACGCGUAUGUAACCUACCCUGUACAGGGGGAUAACCCGGAGAAAUUCGGACUAAUAUCCCAUAACAAUAUCCGGGGGCAUCUUUGGAUAUUUAAAGCUCCGGCGGUUAUUGAUGGGCAUGCGUGACAUUAGCUAGUUGGUGAGGUAACGGCUCACCAAGGCAACGAUGUCUAGGGGUCCUGAGAGGGUUAUCCCCCACACUGGUACUGAGACACGGACCAGACUCCUACGGGAGGCAGCAGUAAGGAAUAUUGGGCAAUGGACGCAAGUCUGACCCAGCCAUGCCGCGUGAAGGAUGGAUGUCCUAUGGAUUGUAAACUUCUUUUAUGCAGGAAAAAUAUCCCGGUCGUGAACCGGGACUGAUGGUACUGUAUGAAUAAGCAUCGGCUAACUCCGUG
rnacentral:rRNA from 1 species